AACGAACGCUGGCGGCGUGCCUAACACAUGCAAGUCGAACGGAGAUAAGGGGCUUGCUCCUUAUUUUAGUGGCGCACGGGUGAGUAACGCGUAGAUAAUCUGCCUGAUGAUCUGGGAUAACAUCUCGAAAGGGGUGCUAAUACCGGAUAAGCCCACGGGGUCUUUGGACUUUGCGGGAAAAGGGGGGGACCAUUUGGCCUUCUGUCAUCAGAUGAGUCUGCGUACCAUUAGCUAGUUGGUAGGGUAAUGGCCUACCAAGGCUACGAUGGUUAGCUGGUCUGAGAGGAUGAUCAGCCACACUGGAACUGAGACACGGUCCAGACUCCUACGGGAGGCAGCAGUCGAGAGGCUUCGGCAAUGGGGGAAACCCUGACCGAGCGACGCCGCGUGGGCGAUGAAGGCCGUUAGGUUGUAAAGCCCUGUCGAGCGGGAAGAAACGCAGGUGGGUAAACGGCCCAUCUGUCUGACGGUACCGCUAAAGGAAGCUCCGGCCAACUCCGUGCCAGCCGCCGCAGUAAGAC
rnacentral:rRNA from 1 species